UACGGGGGGAGCGAACGUUGUUCGGAAUCACUGGGCGUAAAGGGCGUGUAGGCGGCUGAAUAAGUGGGAUGUUAAAUCCCCCGGCUCAACCGGGGACCUGCAUCUCAUACUGUUCAGCUCGAGCACAUCAGAGGAGACUGGAAUUCCCGGUGUAGCGGUGAAAUGCGUAGAUAUCGGGAGGAAUACCGGUGGCGAAGGCGGCAUCCUGGACCGAUAUUGACACUGAGGAGCGAAAGCCAGGGGAGCAAACGGG
rnacentral:rRNA from 1 species